rnacentral:tRNA from 1 species
AUGGAAGUNGCUCAGUUGGUAGAGCAUAACCUUGCCAAGGUUAGGGUCGCGAGUUCGAGUCUCGUUUUCC